UGAGUCUUGUUGUGGAAAUAAGGUCUACACAUAUUUCCUAGUUAAAGGAAAAUGUCUAUUUACUCAUCUCACACUAUGCUAUAGAGUUAAGCACACAUGUUUAAUCAAAAUGGCUGCUAGAAGCUUCUAACCCCUUCCUCCCCCUGCCCCUUUAAACACCGACUAACUACCUCGUGCAGCAAGAUGGUGCCGGGAAACCGUGGGAGACCCUCAUGGACCUGGUGACAU